CUGUUCUGCUGUCUUGCAAGCUGAGUGUUCUUGGGCAUUGUGCCACAUUUUUUUGUCAUAUUUCUUGACCUAAGCUUGGACUUUUAACUUCAAGGAGAGCAGCCAAGUGUCAAAUUUGGCCUUUUCCAAGUAUUGCUUACAGAAGGCCCAGCAAUCCCCUGAAGUGACUGGCAACACUGUCCUUGGGCCAAAUGCAGAAGGCAGCUGCAGAUGGUGCGAUAGAGAGAUAGUGUGCGGAAGGCACCUCCGGCAAAUCCUGGAUGCCCAGGCCCAGCCAAACCACCAGACUCCUGGCUCCUAGUCAAGACCCCAGCCUUCCUCCAUGAAGGCCGUAUGGGAUUGCAUCCAGAUACCUUAGGAGACUGUCUGGCAACCUGUUCCCCCAGCAUGAGGUGCCUCCCUUCUCUGGCCUUGGACUCAGCCAGCACCUGAGGGAAGAAUGCCUGGCAGAAUGAAAGCCUAAGGACCUGUUUGUAUCUUUUCAUCCUUCAGUAGAACUCCACCUUUCUUAGGCUUUUAGAUGAGGCUUUCUGUUCUUAAGUUCACCUUCUGAUGCCAAAUAUGUAGACCUUGGGCCUGUCACUUUGCUCUCCAAGAGAGUCUCAGAACAACCCUCUGGGGACACGUUUUUGGUUUCAGUCUCUUCAGCAGGCAUUAUCCUUUCUUCUGGAGGUAACACCCCAAAGUUUAUUCGUCCAUUCCUAGCUCAGUUCAUGUGGAUCUGGUGGGGAUCCUGCCUCCAUAAGGAGAGUACAACUUGAGACUGGCCAGCCAGCACUUUGCAUUCCCCCAGUCAUGGGGAUUGGUUCAUUGUUGAGCACACAACCCAGGCCUUUUGCUUCAGAGUUGAACACAUGCUUCAAAUUGUUGUAAUUAGAGGAAAUUCUUCAGCUUAUUAUUAGCUCCUGAGGGAAAAUGCUCAGUUUUAAAGUGGAUUUGAAGAAGAAGGACUAGAGCUGUUGGCACCACUUUGUCACCACAUGGAGCCUGAGAAUGAAAGCAACAUGUUACAGUGCGAGGUGGCUCCCCCUUCACUGUUUGGUUGCUCUUGGUGAGCUAGAGCUGAAAUUCCCAGUGGAAGUUGAGUGUAAGUCCCGGUGGGAAGGUGAAUGCAGGAAAUCUUCCCUGGAAAUAAGAUAAAAGCCCAUGGAAGAUGGCUUUCCCUGCUCUGUUUUGUUAUCUUCGGGUCCCAGAUACAAAUGUGAAGAGAAUGGGCACGUUUCCUGGUGGGUCCUGGGUUCUACAGACCUUCAGGACAUUGCCUGAGAGCCAUAUAAGCUGGAAGGGCAAAGGAGCGUGGCUCGAAAAGGGAGAAAUGUGCAGCAUAAGCACCAGGAACAAACUCAGAAGCAGACAGGAAGGAGCCCCCAGGCUGAAGCUGACCCUGGAGGCAUCAAGUUCCCAGCUCUGGACCUUUGAGCAUGCUUCCGGUUCUGCUUUGAGGCCUCUCUGGCCAUGAUUGCUUCCCUAAUGACCACUGCUUCAGAGAGACCUGCCCCAACUCCACCCGCUGCAGUGGCAUGGUUGUGCCUCUGCACUCUGACAGAAGACUGGCUAUGCAGCUGUCCAGUGUUGAACACAGCCUUGCAUUGUAAUUGCUUAAAUGUCUGUUUCUCCAACUGCUCUAUGACCUUGUUAAAGAUGGGAACCAUGUCUUAGUUUGCUUACCCCUGACAUAGAGGAGCCUCAAUAAAUAAUAAAUCUUAAAAGUUUAAUAAAUAAUGGUCCAGGCUUUUCCCAAAGACAAAGAAGGAAGGAGUUCCCAGUGAAUUGGGCACAGUCCUAAACUGAGUGAGUUAGUCUACAAUGGUGGACAUUUUAUUCCACUGAUUUGUGGAUUGUGGUCAAUUGUGAAUACUUAGAAUGGGUUCAGCCCUCUGCUGGCUGCUGUGUGACAUGUGAAGACAGAGAUGAGACACAUGACUUCCAGCACAUUGUCAUCCGCAGUCCAGUAGAGUGUACAUAAGCAUAGAAAACAGCUAUUAAUAGUAAGGCAACCUGUUUUUAGAAACUUAUAAGAUAAUGCAUUUACCCAGCCAUCAAUCCAUAAGAAAAUACUCAGGUAUUUCUUAGGAAUAGCUAGGUGCUUGUAAAGAAAGAAUCAUGUAUUGAAAAGAAAGCCAACUCAGGUUUGAAUACAGGAUCUACUAUUCACACAUUGUGUGAAUUCGGACAAGUUAAGAAACCUCAGUUGAACCCCAGUUUCUUAAUAUAUAAAAUGAGAUCAUAAUAAAAGAUGAGGCUCAAAUGAGAUUAUGCCUAUGAAGCACUUAACACUAUACCUGACAUUUGGUAGUAUCUCAAGACAUGAUAGUUGAUGUCAUUCUGCAGGAUGUUCAACCUCGAGAUAUUGUGAAUGCUCAGGUAUUUGAUGUUACAUAAACAAGAACAGUAGAAUAUGAACAUUUUCUGUUAUUUUUUGUGGUAAUUUAUUUUUUAACUGUGGAAACACAUUGUGGGCUCAUCUGCCACACUUCUAUGAUAGUGGGGGUCGUUUUUAGUACUCACUCCUGAAUCCUGUGAAUUGCCUUAGUUCCUAGAGGGCCAAACCAAGGCAUUGCAUAUCUGGAUAAAUGUUACCAACAGCCAAGUUCAAGUUUCUACAGGCUCCUUUUGUCUCAUACUUGCUCAUCCACUGCUCUUCUCAGUG
rnacentral:lncRNA from 10 species